rnacentral:tRNA from 1 species
GGGGAUCUAGCUCACUUGGUAGAGUAUCUGCCUUGCAUGCACAAGGCCCUGAGUUCAAUCCCCAGCACCA